rnacentral:rRNA from 1 species
UACGUAGGGUGCAAGCGUUAAUCGGAAUUACUGGGCGUAAAGCGUGCGCAGGCGGCUUUGUAAGACUGUCGUGAAAUCCCCGGGCUUAACCUGGGAAUGGCGAUGGUGACUGCAAGGCUAGAGUUUGGCAGAGGGGGGUAGAAUUCCACGUGUAGCAGUGAAAUGCGUAGAUAUGUGGAGGAACACCGAUGGCGAAGGCAGCCCCCUGGGUCAAAACUGACGCUCAUGCACGAAAGCGUGGGGAGCAAACAGG